AAACUAGGAUUAGAUACCCUAUGCAGGAAAAACCUACCUUUGUAAGUAAUUAACAUAUGAAAGCAAAAAAAUUAUCGGCGGUAUUUUAAGCUUUUCAGAGGAAUUUGCUCUUUAAUGGAUAAAACACCUAAAUCUUACUUAAAUUUGUUAAUUCAAUUUGUAUACCACUAUAAAAACAAUUUAUAACUUUAAUUGUUGAUAUUUAUUAAAUUAAAAUAUAUUAAGUCAAGGUGCAGUAAAAAUUUAAGGAUGAAGUGAAUUACAUUACUUUUUAGAGAAAUAAAUUUAAAAUAAUAUUUAGGAUUUGAAAGUAAAAUUAAAAUAUAAUGUUAAUUUGAAUUAAGCUCUAAAAUAUGUACACAUCGCCCGUCGCUCUCAUU
rnacentral:rRNA from 1 species